CCAACGGCCCUCUUUAGGGCCACAAAUACCCAGAAAUCCUUUUUU
rnacentral:ncRNA from 14 species